CACACCCACCUUGCAAAUAACUGGCGUUUUUAAUAAGUAACUUUGCCCUGACGAGCAGACGCUCACCAUCUGUCCUGACUAAUCAUCACUAUGACACUUGGAGUGAAGACAGUGAGAAAAGAUGCUCAUUAUCAGAUAGCAACAGCAGACCCUUGUCUUUUGUGGGAGGAAAGAGGUCAGCCAACAGGAGAUGGCCUCAGCCAGCCCUGUGGAUUAGAUAAAAGAGGAACCUGACUUGGGGCAGAAGUGCAAGUCUUUUUUCCUCAACAUGCUUCAAUGGAAUUCAGCAGGCAAACUCUUAUUUUCAGUUCCAGCUUUGAAGGGCGAUUCUCCAUGAGCUUAUCAGAAUGCAUAAAUAUCCUGAAAAAACUCUGCAGAGUUUGUGUGUUAGCAAAUAAUCAGAAGAGCAGUGCAGGAAGGACAGCUGUCAUUACUACAACUGUCUCACAUUAUUAUCAAAGGUAAACCAUGCCACCUACUGGUGAGAUAAACUGCAGUUUUGUGAGAUUGUACAUGUAUAACAAAAAUAUGAGUUGAAAAUCAUUGUUUUGCAUAGGCUGUUUUCAUUUAUUUAUUUGUCUUUUAACAAUGCAUUUUUUUUGGAGGGGACAGGAAACACAAAAUCUAUAUUUCAGAAAAUUGGAAAAUUCAAAUCUUAUCAUUUGCACCAUGCACUGAGCAGAGGUUCAUUCACCCCUCCUCUCCCUAAUGUGGCCAUCUCUUGACUAUAGCUCCUCUGCUCACAUCCAGGACAUGCAUGGGUCAAGAAUUAAGCUCUGCUUAAACUAUAGUUUCCUUUUGACAAUGUUACAUAAUGGUAACGUUGUGCUUAAAUUAGAGUCUUCUACGUUUUCUUUCUUUCAAACAACAGAAAAUUAUUUCCUUAACUCAACAGGGCUUAAAUAGACUGGGAAUACCGCACUAACACAGUUUUCCAUGGGAGGAAGAUCAGCUGUGCACAGACUCCCAGUGGUCUUCCAUUUAUAGAGCUCAGGUUUUAGGUGGUUCAGUUUGAAAUAUAAACCAGUGUAAGAAUAGCAGCAAUGAUCUGAGGGUCAUGAUUUUUUUUCACUUUCUUUAACAUCUGUUUCAUCUCUGCUGCCACAAGGACAGAUACGACUAAUGUGGUAUGAGGAGAAGAAAAGUGGAGUUCCUGCUUCAUACACUCAAAAUUAAAAUAUGCCCAAAACGCUGACUUUAAUUU